CCACUGUUGAGGAGUCUCACAACAGGACGAAACGGCCUUCCAGUAC
rnacentral:hammerhead_ribozyme from 1 species